rnacentral:rRNA from 1 species
GAUGAACGCUGGCGGCGUGCCUAAUACAUGCAAGUCGAGCGAGCGGCGGACGGGUGAGUAACACGUGAUAACCUACCUUUACCACCGGGUUAACUUCGGGAAACCGGAGCUAAUACCUGAUAUUUAUAGAUGGAUCCGCGCUGCAUUAGCUAGUCGUUGGGGUAAUGGCGCACCUAGGCGACGAUCCCUAGCUGGUCUGAGAGGAUGACCAGCCACACUGGAACUGAGACACGGUCCAGACUCCUACGGGAGGCAGCAGUGGGGAAUAUGGGACAAUGGGCGCAAGCCUGAUGCAGCCAUGCCGCGUGAGUGAAGAAGGCCUUCGGGUUGUAAAGCACUUUCAGCGAGGAGGCGUUACUCGCAGAAGAAGCACCGGCUAACUCCGUGCCAGCAGCCGCGGUAAUAC